rnacentral:lncRNA from 1 species
AGAAGCUAUUCCAAGUAGCGUUUGAGCUUAUAGCUUAUAGCUUCUCAUUUUUUGUCUCAUUUUUACCCUUAUCAAUUUAACAAAAAUUCAUAUCUACCCUUUGUAAUAAAUAACUACGUUGAAGAAAAACAUAACACUUUUAAUCCCAGAUUUCACUUUAACUAAAUAUAUAUGCUCACGCUUUUAUUUAUUUUUACAAAAUAUAU